GGGCUUUGGGUGUGCCGGAGGUGAAAGCCAGGCAGUGCCCAGAUACCUCGCUGGAUACUGCGCGGUGGGACAGCUCCACCGGGCUGCGAGUGUCGGCGCUGUAGCUACAGUGGAGCGUUUCCUCACGUUCCGGGUAAACGGUGUCAACGACCCAGACAAGAAGAACAGAACUGCACUGCACUAUGCUUGUGCGCAUGGCCACCUGGGGGUGGUAACUCUUCUCAUAGAGAGGAACUGCAACAUUAAUGCCUGCGAUGACGACAACUGCACGCCUCUCAUUAAGGCCUCACAGCAUCAGCAUGGGGACUGUGUGGCUGCCUUGCUACAACACGGUGCAGAUCCCAAUGCUGUGGAUGCUCUUGGAAACACUGCCCUCCACUAUGCAGUACACAGUGAAAACACAUUCAUAGCUUCCCAGCUCCUUGAACACAGCGCAAACAUUGAAGCCAAAACAAAGGAGAGAACCUGCCACACAUUUGAUGAAAAUGAACAGAAGUGAAAAUAAAGGCUAUUUUCCGGGAGAUUCCAUGGCAACGUUUGAGAAGUGUGCUGCAGACACAAGUGCUGAGCCACCAGUGAAGCAGAGCUGUGCUCGCCAACUCCAUCAGGACGGACAAAGCCCUGCAAAGAGCACAUCUAAAGAAAAGCACGAGGCCAAGAAGCAAAUCAACGGUGUGGAAGGCCUGGAAGAUGGGACUCUGCCGUGUGAAGCAGCCUCAGAUGACUUUGCAGGAAGCACAGUUGCAAGAAGAUCCACAGAGGGAAGGUGUCCUGAGUUCUGCAAGAAUGGAACAUCUGCUAUGGAAGUAUGGCUUAAAGCCAAAUGCAAAAGACCUUAAAUAUUUGUAAAUCUGAUCAGCAAUAUAGUGUGGUGAUUAUGUUGGCUGUGGCAAUAAGCACACCCCGGUUAAGCCCUAGAGACUUUAUGUUAUGUGCAAUGCCUAACAGUGCUAUGUUACGUAAUUUCCAUGGUCACAACCCUGUAUGCCACCAUCUUUCUCUUUAGUUUCUUAAGAAUGGAAUCAUUAAGAAUUGAGAAUAAUUAGUUAUUCUGUAAAAUGCCUUAUAGGCUGGAAGUUGAGUGUCUCAAGUUAGAAGACUCAGUAAAGAACCAAGCAGAAGAAAUUGAAGAGAUUGAGAAUCAACUGUUACGAGAAGAUUUGGUAAAUUACUCUCCUAUUCACUCCUGCCACCAUAAAGAGAAAAGUUCCCAUCCUCAGUGCUACUUUAUGGGAAAGUUAGGAAACAGGAAAGAGUUAAUUGACAAAAAUUUCGGUGUUCAUAGUGAUAAUUUGUGUAAGAGUGCAAGUCCUCUUAACAGAAGAAUUUGAUUGAAAUCAUAGAAUUAAUGAUUUGUGCAGCAUUUCAUGAAUGUUGGGUUUCAACUGUCAAAAUCUUGUCUAGAAAGACCUUUACAUGUGCACGUUACCAAACACAGACAGUUGUAAACACAUAAUUAAAAAUAUUUUAG
ensembl:processed_transcript Gm10044 predicted gene 10044